rnacentral:lncRNA from 1 species
UUCCUCUUCCUCCUCAGCUUUCUCAAUGUAAAGACAGUAAGGAUGAAGACCUUUAUGAUGAUCCACUUCCACUUAAUGAAUGAUCAUCAGGCUAGCACAGUACAUAGGAAGCAAUCAAGAAAUACUGAAAGAAUGAAAGAAUGAACGAACGAACAAACGAAGAGACUUAAGCCUGUGAAAGUUGAUGAGACAACUAAAGGAGAUAAUGGAGAGGACAGAACACUGGAACAAUAUCCACCUUGAGGGAGCAGGAAGAAAGAAGCUAGUGAAGGAAACAGAAUGAACAAUCAAAGAGG